UGAGAGUAGUGAUAGUUUUUCUUGUUUAAAGCUUCAUUUAAGUGAGUAACUCUGACAAGUCCGUGGUUAGAGGGUAGCAGCAUUAUGUAAACAGCCACGUUGGUGCCUCUGCUUGAUUAAUGAUGUUUGCAUUUCUUGCAGGCAUAAAGACAGUGUUUGCAGGAUCCAGUUGCAAUGAUAUUGUCUGCACAGAGCAAUGUGUAAUGAGUGGACAUUUUGACAAGAAAAUUCGUUUCUGGGACAUUCGAGAGCAUAGUUCGAGAGAUGGAGCUGUUGGGAAAGAUUACUGCCCUGGACUUAAACCCAGAAAGGACUGAGCUCCUGAGCUGCUCCCGUGAUGACUUGCUAAAAGUUAUCGAUCUCCGAACAAAUGCUAUCAAGCAGACGUUCAGUGCACCUGGGUUCAAGUGUGGCUCUGACUGGACCAGAGUUGUCUUCAGCCCUGAUGGCAGUUACGUGGCGGCAGGCUCUGCUGAGGGCUCUCUCUAUAUCUGGAGUGUGCUCACAGGGAAAGUGGAAAAGGUUCUUUCAAAGCAGCACAGCUCAUCCAUCAAUGCGGUGGCGUGGUCGCCCUCUGGCUUGCACGUUGUCAGUGUGGACAAAGGAUGCAAAGCUGUGCUGUGGGCACAGUAUUGACGGGGCUCUCAGGGCUGGGAGGACCCCAGUGCCCUCCUCAGAAGAAGCACGUGGGCUCCUGCAGCCCUGUCCUGGCAGGUGAUGUGCUGGGUAUAGCAUGGACCUCCCAGAGAAGCUCAAGCUAUGUGGCACUGUAGCUUUGCCAUGAACGGGAUUUCUGAAGAUUUGA
rnacentral:sRNA from 1 species